rnacentral:rRNA from 1 species
AUGUCAACUAGUCGUUCGGAGCGGUAACGCACUGAGUGACGCAGCUAACGCGUGAAGUUGACGCCUGGGGAGUACGGCCGCAAGGUUAAAACUCAAAGGAAUUGACGGGGACCCGCACAAGCGGUGGAUGAUGUGGAUUAAUUCGAUGCAACGCGAAAAACCUUACCUACCCUUGACAUGCCAGGAAUCUUGGUGAGAGCCGAGAGUGCCUUCGGGAGCCUGGACACAGGUGCUGCAUGGCUGUCGUCAG